rnacentral:rRNA from 1 species
GACGAACGCUGGCGGCGUGCUUAACACAUGCAAGUCGAACGGAAAGGCCCUGCUUUUGUGGGGUGCUCGAGUGGCGAACGGGUGAGUAACACGUGAGUAACCUGCCCUUGACUUUGGGAUAACUUCAGGAAACUGGGGCUAAUACCGGAUAGGAGCUCCUGCUGCAUGGUGGGGGUUGGAAAGUUUCGGCGGUUGGGGAUGGACUCGCGGCUUAUCAGCUUGUUGGUGGGGUAGUGGCUUACCAAGGCUUUGAGGGGUAGCCGGCCUGAGAGGGUGACCGGCACCAUUGGGGCGCGGAGACGCCCCGGAGUCUACCGGGGGACGCAGGGGGGGAGAAUGUAGGAAAGGGGGGAAGCUCAUGACGCAACCGCGCCGGGGGGGUGAUGGGCCUUGGGGUGGUAAACCGCUUUGGCUUACGGAAGGGUAGUGACGGUAAUGGGUAAAGAAGCACCGGCUAACUACGUG